CAGCCGCCGCGGUAAUACGAGGGGGGCGAGCGUUGUUCGGAAUUACUGGGCGUAAAGCGUGCGUAGGCGGUGAGUUAAGUCUGCUGUGAAAUCCCCGGGCUCAACCCGGGAAUGGCAGUGGAUACUGGCUCGCUAGAGUGUGUCAGAGGAUGGUGGAAUUCCCGGUGUAGCGGUGAAAUGCGUAGAGAUCGGGAGGAACAUCAGUGGCGAAGGCGGCCAUCUGGGACAACACUGACGCUGAGGCACGAAAGCGUGGGGAGCAAACAGGAUUAGAUACCCCUGUAGUCCCUGUCUCUUAUAC
rnacentral:rRNA from 1 species